rnacentral:piRNA from 1 species
AGAUUGUGGUCAAAGGAAGUCACUAGA